rnacentral:rRNA from 1 species
UACGGAGGGUGCGAGCGUUAAUCGGAAUAACUGGGCGUAAAGGGUACGCAGGCGGGCUUUUAAGUGAGAUGUGAAAUCCCCGGGCUUAACCUGGGAAUUGCAUUUCAGACUGGGAGUCUAGAGUACUUUAGAGAGAGGUAGAAUUCCACGUGUAGCGGUGAAAUGCGUAGAGAUGUGGAGGAAUACCGAAGGCGAAGGCAGCCCCUUGGGAAUGUACUGACGCUGAUGUGCGGAAGCGUGGGGAGCAAACAGG